UUUGCAGGGAUAUUGCUUCCACAACCAGCAGGAUGCAGAAAAUGCUUUCCAAGAGUUUGUCGAAUCCUGAAGCAUGGAUUUUUAUGCUAUAGGAAUAAACAAACUUAUUUCUUGUUGGCAAAAAUAUGUUGAUUGUAAUCGUUUCUAUUUCAAUUACUACAGAUGUGUUUGA